rnacentral:pre_miRNA from 1 species
GCUUAUGGAGGGGCAAAGAGAGUGGUUUCUUGGGAUGGAAUCUACCUCUGGUGAAGGUGCUGUGAA